rnacentral:rRNA from 1 species
AUUGAACGCUGGCGGCAGGCCUAACACAUGCAAGUCGAGCGGAUGAAGGGAGCUUGCUCCUGGAUUCAGCGGCGGACGGGUGAGUAAUGCCUAGGAAUCUGCCUGGUAGUGGGGGAUAAUGUCUGGAAAAGGGCGCUAAUACUGCAUACGUCCUGAGGCAGAAAGUGGGGGAUCUUCGGACCUUUCGCUAUCAGAUGAGCCUAGGUCCGAUUAGCUAGUUUGUGGGGUAAGGCCUACCAGGGCGACGAUCCGUAACUUGUCUGAGCGGAUGAUCAGUCACACGGGAACUGAGACACGGUCCUGACUCCUGCGGGAGGCACCAGAGUGGAAUGUUGGGCAAUGGGCGAAAGCCUGAUACAGUCAUGCGGCGUGUGUGGAGAAAGUGUUCGGAGUGUGAAGCACGUUUAGGUGGGAUGAAGGGCAUUAAGUUAAUACCUUGCUGUUUUGACGUUACCAACAGAAUAAGCACCGGCUAACUUCGUG